UGAGGAACAUGACCUUCGGCGGGGGAUAGCCGGCCCAACGGCCGGGUAAUACCGCGUACGACCACAUGGGGACAUCCCUGAGUGGUGAAAGCAGCAAUGCGCCGAUGGAGUGCCUCGCGGCCUAUCAGCUAGUUGGUGAGGUAACGGCUCACCAAGGCGACGACGGGUAGCUGGUCUGAGAGGAUGGCCAGCCACAGUUGGGACUGAGACACGGCCCAGACCUNUACGGGGAG
rnacentral:rRNA from 1 species